rnacentral:rRNA from 1 species
GAUGAACGCUGGCGGCGUGCCUAAUACAUGCAAGUCGAGCGACCGGACGAUAAGCUUGUUUCUCUGAUGUUAGCGGCGGACGGGUGAGUGACACGUGGAUAACCUUCUUAUAAGACUGGGAUAACUUCGGGAAACCGGAGCUAAUACUGGAUAAUAUUUUGAACCGCAUGGUUCAAAAGAGAAAGACGGUCUUGCUGUCUCUUAUAGAUGGAUCCGCGCUGCAUUAGCUAGUUGGUAAGGUAACGGCUCACCAAGGCAACGAUGCGUAGCCGACCUGAGAGGGUGAUCAGCCACACUGGAACUGAGACACGGUCCAGACUCCUACGGGAGGCAGCAGUAGGGAAUAUUGGGCAAUGGGCGAAAGCCUGACGGAGCAACGCCGCGUGAGUGAUGAAGGUCUUCGGAUCGUAAAACCCUGUUAUUAGGGAAGAACAUCUGUGUAAGUAACUGUGCACAUCUUGACGGUACCUAAUCAGAAAGCAACGGCUAACUACGUG